rnacentral:tRNA from 1 species
GGAGGAGUGGCCGAGUGGUUUAAGGCGGCGGUCUUGAAAACCGUUGAGUGGGGCAACCUGCUCCGUGGGUUCGAAUCCUACCUCCUCCGCCA